rnacentral:lncRNA from 1 species
CAGCUUCUCUCAUCUGAGUUCAUAGGCUUACUACAACUCACUAGACUUUAAGAUUUUACAUUUUUGGGCAAGGUGGCUGCGGGACCAAGCUGGUGGGGAAGGACCUUCGUAACACCUGCGUGCAUAUGCAACGGCUUCCCCGAUCCCCACCCCCGGCGGCCUCCACUUCCCCCGCCACCCGCCGCACGCCCGGCCCUAGAACGAGCACCAGGUGGGCCGGCACGAGAACGAGCACCAGGUGGGCCGGCACGAGGGCGAGCACCAGGUGGGAUGGCACGAGAACGAACACCAAGUGAGCCGGCCUGGAGCCCUGCCCCUGAGCCCCCGCCCGAUGAGGUCAGCCAUCUGGACGCGGAGGGGGGGGGAAUUGAGUCUGUUGUACCAGACACCAGACCUUGAGAAUAUGCUGAUCUGGAAUGGCUCUGUGUCUCAUUUGAACCAUCCAAUAGAAAUGAUUCUGUAUUUCGCCUCAUUUGAAAGACUCUGUGUUUCACCUC